GCUGACUCUCUUUUCAGACUCAGCCCGCCUGCGCUCAGGUGAAAUAAACAGCCUUGUUGCUCACACAAAGCCUGUUUGGUGGUCUCUUCACACGGACGUGCAUGAAAUUUGGUGCCGUGACUCGGAUUGGGGAACCUCCCUUGGGAGAUCAAUCCCCUGUCCUCCUGCUCUUUGCUCCAUGAAAAAGAUCCACCUACGACCUCAGGUCCUCAGACCCACCAGCCCAAGGAACAUCUCACCAAUUUUAAAUCGG
rnacentral:antisense_RNA from 1 species